rnacentral:piRNA from 1 species
ACAGAAGAGCCAUGAUGCAUGCUCCGUGC